rnacentral:lncRNA from 1 species
UGGCAGUUAGGAAAGCUAGGUCCUGCUGUCCCCUUGCUGUGCAGCAUGACACCAUCACCCAGUGGGGGCGUGGAGGGGCACGGUGACACAAAGCUGUCGACACCCUGUCGGUGUGUGACCAUCAUUUACAUCGUUAUUAACUAUUCAAGAUGGCUCUUUUCUCCCCUUCAAAGAAAGCUUGUUGGACCGUUUUCUAAUGGCUGGACCCAGGAGGGUGCAAUGAUUCUCAGGACUACCUGGCACCCGCUCAGUGCUUAG